rnacentral:misc_RNA from 1 species
UGACCAUCCUGGUGGGUAAGCAUGGC